UAACGACUCUCGGCAACGGAUAUCUCGGCUCUCGCAUCGAUGAAGAACGUAGCGAAAUGCGAAACUUGGUGUGAAUUGCAGAAUCCCGUGAACCAUCGAGUCUUUGAACGCAAGUUGCGCCCGAAGCCUUCGGGCCGAGGGCACGCCUGCCUGGGCGUCACGCA
rnacentral:rRNA from 1 species